AUGCAUAGGAAUCUACCUAGUAGUAUAGGAUAGCCACUAGAAAUGGUGGGUAAUACUGUAUAAUCCCUGCGGGGGAAAGAUUUAUCGCUACAUGAUGAGCCUAUGUUAGAUUAGCUAGUUGGUAGGGUAAAGGCCUACCAAGGCGAUGAUCUAUAGCUGGUCUGAGAGGAUGAUCAGCCACACUGGAACUGAGAUACGGUCCAGACUCCUACGGGAGGCAGCAGUGGGGAAUAUUGGACAAUGGGCGCAAGCCUGAUCCAGCUAUGCCGCGUGAGUGAGGAAGGCCUUAGGGUUGUAAAACUCUUUCAGUAGGGAAGAUAAUGACGGUACCUA
rnacentral:rRNA from 1 species